CCGGGAGUAGCACAACAGCGCCAGCAGCUUUCAAGAGAUCUUCACAAAGGCUAGGGACCCAAAGCAAAUUCUGCAACCUAGGCUUGGGAUUUCCCAAGGAUGGAACUACCGUUGGUGCAGCAGCACCAGGGCCCAAGUGCUGGGGGGGCACCAAAGUCCGAAGGGCUCCUGCGCUCUCUCCUCACCUUUCACCACUGUGCCGGCGACCUUAACUAAGAUGGCCGCCGGCAAUGAAAUAACAGCACCGCUCUUAUGCAUGCCCCUCAUUCCUGUUCUCCUUGAGAUCUAACGAAACCUGAGCAUGUUACCUCCCCUGCACCGGGAGUAGCACAACAGCGCCAGCAGCUUUCAAGAGAUCUUCACAAAGGCUAGGGACCCAAAGCAAAUUCUGCAACCUAGGCUUGGGAUUUCCCAAGGAUGGAACUACCGUUGGUGCAGCAGCACCAGGGCCCAAGUGCUGGGGGGGCACCAAAGUCCGAAGGGCUCCUGCGCUCUCUCCUCACCUUUCACCACUGUGCCGGCGACCUUAACUAAGAUGGCCGCCGGCAAUGAAAUAACAGCACCGCUCUUAUGCAUGCCCCUCAUUCCUGUUCUCCUUGAGAUCUAACGAAACCUGAGCAUGUUACCUCCCCUGCACCGGGAGUAGCACAACAGCGCCAGCAGCUUUCAAGAGAUCUUCACAAAGGCUAGGGACCCAAAGCAAAUUCUGCAACCUAGGCUUGGGAUUUCCCAAGGAUGGAACUACCGUUGGUGCAGCAGCACCAGGGCCCAAGUGCUGGGGGGGCACCAAAGUCCGAAGGGCUCCUGCGCUCUCUCCUCACCUUUCACCACUGUGCCGGCGACCUUAACUAAGAUGGCCGCCGGCAAUGAAAUAACAGCACCGCUCUUAUGCAUGCCCCUCAUUCCUGUUCUCCUUGAGAUCUAACGAAACCUGAGCAUGUUACCUCCCCUGCACCGGGAGUAGCACAACAGCGCCAGCAGCUUUCAAGAGAUCUUCACAAAGGCUAGGGACCCAAAGCAAAUUCUGCAACCUAGGCUUGGGAUUUCCCAAGGAUGGAACUACCGUUGGUGCAGCAGCACCAGGGCCCAAGUGCUGGGGGGGCACCAAAGUCCGAAGGGCUCCUGCGCUCUCUCCUCACCUUUCACCACUGUGCCGGCGACCUUAACUAAGAUGGCCGCCGGCAAUGAAAUAACAGCACCGCUCUUAUGCAUGCCCCUCAUUCCUGUUCUCCUUGAGAUCUAACGAAACCUGAGCAUGUUACCUCCCCUGCACCGGGAGUAGCACAACAGCGCCAGCAGCUUUCAAGAGAUCUUCACAAAGGCUAGGGACCCAAAGCAAAUUCUGCAACCUAGGCUUGGGAUUUCCCAAGGAUGGAACUACCGUUGGUGCAGCAGCACCAGGGCCCAAGUGCUGGGGGGGCACCAAAGUCCGAAGGGCUCCUGCGCUCUCUCCUCACCUUUCACCACUGUGCCGGCGACCUUAACUAAGAUGGCCGCCGGCAAUGAAAUAACAGCACCGCUCUUAUGCAUGCCCCUCAUUCCUGUUCUCCUUGAGAUCUAACGAAACCUGAGCAUGUUACCUCCCCUGCACCGGGAGUAGCACAACAGCGCCAGCAGCUUUCAAGAGAUCUUCACAAAGGCUGUAAGUUUUGUUCGUUGUUUCCUAUGAAAUCCUAUGGAGUAUUUGCUGCCUAAGGGUUUGUGCCUUAAAGGGACAUUAAACCCCAAAAAAUUAUUUCAUGAUGCAGAUAGAGGAUU